rnacentral:rRNA from 1 species
GGAUCUCUUAAAGCUGUUCUUCAGUUCGGACUGCAGUCUGCAACUCGACUGCACGAAGCUGGAAUCGCUAGUAAUCGCGGAUCAGCACGCCGCGGUGAAUACGUUCCCGGGCCUUGUACACACCGCCCGUCACACCAUGGAAGUCUGCAAUGCCCGAAGCCGGUGGCCUAACCACUUAUGUGGAAGGAGCCGUCUAAGGCAGGGCAGAUGACUGGGGUGAAGUCGUAACAAGGUAAC